rnacentral:lncRNA from 1 species
CUAGCUUGAUGGCCCUCUCUAGCUCAGUUGGUAGAGCAUGGCACUUUAGCACAACUUAACUCCUGUAAGGCUGUCAAACAUGUCCAAUCACCAUCCAGUUGUCCAUGUUUCAUAAUCAUGUAUAGCUUCUGCUUCUUUGAAAAAAGGACUCAGCCAUUAGUGUCUAUUGGUUGACUUAGCCAACCACCUGGGGGGGAAAAAAAAGCGACCAGACAAUGCACAUCGAGACAGAACCUUCUCCAACUUUUUCCUGGACUAUCAGCUUAUCAUAUAACAAGGUGUGGGGGAUGGGUAGUGGGGUGAGCUGCUGGAGAGUUCCGCCAGUGCCUGCAUCUGCUGUUCCAUUGAGGACUGCAUUGAACUUGUUGUCUAUGAUGCUGUCCUUGGUAACCGGGGGUGCCUCAGCCGGCUCGUCGUGCUCCCACGCCUCGGCCGGCCCGUCAGGCUCGCCCAGUAGAAGACAGCUGUCAGUAGUGGCUGGCUAUAGCAGGAGAUGCGGUCUCUGUGAGGAGGCAUCAGACUGGAGUUUGUUCUGAGAGUAGAGAGAAGCUUUUGUCCCCAGUCUGUUUGAGCCUUCAGACUACACGUCAGUAACAGUUCCACAGACAUGUGUCUACUCUCAUUUAGGCUCUUUCUGACAGAUGGCCG